rnacentral:lncRNA from 1 species
UGUUACCAAAGCAGUUUACAUAUGUCCUUAUAUGCAUAUUUUUUAUUAUAUAUUUAGUGUUUUAUAGAAUUUUUUAAAGUUAACAUAUAAUGUAGAUAUUAAUUUUUUUCCUCUGCUAUAUAAAAAAAAAUGUUAUGGGCAACACAACCGUACAAUGAUGAUUUGAAAAUACUUCCUUGAAAGAGUUGGAAGCCCAUCUUGGUAAAUACAUUGCAAAUGAUUUGUAGAGUUUGACAAGGCUCUGAUGGCAGAAGAGCUUGGGUCUCUAACUCAAGGCUGCUGUAUAUAAAUUAGUCUCUGAAUGGUUAAUGCAUUUAAUCCAAUCCUUUUGACAUGUAUAAUAUGAUUUCCUGCCUUCAGGGUGAAUUCUGUUGUUCAAUACAACUUGAGAUGGUUUUAGCAACGGUUGCAGGUCUCAAAAGCUAAACUUUCUGUCCAAGAGGUACCUUGUACAAUAUCCUCAUACUCUCAUAAUAUGAAUUCGUCAUCGGAUGGAAAGACUUUCUGUUCCCUCGACUAAGUUAGCAUCAUCGUCUUCGUAGUAGCAUUACCUUAGACGUUAAAUUUGAAGUUACCUACCCUGUAGUACCUAGAUCCAAAGUUACUAUAGUCACCCAAGUCUUUUCAAAGGAUUUAAAAAACAAAAAUGAUAAUUUUACUCUCUUUCCAUGUAUCUGUUUAUGUGAAUUUUAAAAGAAGUCAUUCUCCGUCAAUGGAUUCAUCCUCUCUUGGCACAGUUUCUUAUAGAGGAUACGUGUCUCUCUGUAAUACUAGCGCCCUUCUUUUGUAUCAUAGUCAUACAUGCAGUUUGGAAGAUUUCUCCUGUUCCAGCAAAACAGUUGCUGCCGAGAAUUUUUUUUUCCUAUGACUAUAAAAGAUCUUUAGUACAAUUGUCUGGUAUCUUGAUGAAUCUCCUGCUUUGCAAUCUCUAGCCUUGUUGCUUUAUGAGCUUUUACCUUGUAAGUUCUCCAAAAUCACACGUUGGAAAAAUGACAAUAUCCACAAAGUCAUAUUCUUAUGAAAAGAGCUAUUUGUUACGGGGGAGGUUUUUGUAAACGGGCGUUCGUGGAACCCUAAUAUAAAAGGCAAUGCAAUUUUCUAUAAAAACUUUGACUUGUAAACAUCUGUCGCCUUUUCUUCUUUCUCAGAGAUCUCAAAAUUUGCCUGUUGUGGGUCGGGUUUUGCUUACCAAUAAUACAAGUUAAACUUUUUCAACCUUCUAGUUACAUUCGCCAAUAAAGACGUGAUCAGGAUUCGACCGGUGUCAAAAUCAGGUAACCGGGGGAAAAAAAUAGAUAUAUAUAUUGUCAGUAUUUCAAGCUGUGUUCCUUUCUUAGUUGGAUAUGGUUACUUCUAUGUUCCAAUAAAAUAAAAUUUAAAAUCACACUCAAAAAAAA